rnacentral:tRNA from 1 species
GCGCUCGUAGCUCAGCGGAUAGAGCGACAGGUUGCGGACCUGUAGGCCGGGGGUUCAAGUCCCUCCGAGCGCGCCA